UACGUAGGGUGCGAGCGUUGUCCGGAAUUAUUGGGCGUAAAGAGCUUGUAGGCGGUUUGUCGCGUCUGCUGUGAAAAUCCGAGGCUCAACCUCGGACUUGCAGUGGGUACGGGCAGACUAGAGUGUGGUAGGGGAGACUGGAAUUCCUGGUGUAGCGGUGGAAUGCGCAGAUAUCAGGAGGAACACCAAUGGCGAAGGCAGAUCUCUGGGCCGUAACUGACGCUGGAGGAGCGAAAGCAUGGGGAGCGAACAGG
rnacentral:rRNA from 1 species